ACCAGACUCCUACGGGAGGCAGCAGUCGGGAAUAUUGCACAAUGGAGGAAACUCUGAUGCAGUGACACCGCGUAUAGGAAGAAGGUUUUCGGAUUGUAAACUAUUUUAGACAGGGAAGAAAAAAGACAGUACCUGUAGAAUAAGCUCCGGCUAACUACGUGCCAGCAGCCGCGGUAAUACGUAGGGGGCAAGCGUUAUCCGGAUUUACUGGGUGUAAAGGGAGCGUAGACGGCAUGGCAAGUCAGAUGUGAAAGCCCGGGGCUCAACCCCGGGACUGCAUUUGAAACUGUCAGGCUGGAGUGCAGGAGAGGUAAGUGGAAUUCCUAGUGUAGCGGUGAAAUGCGUAGAUAUUAGGAGGAACACCAGUGGCGAAGGCGGCUUACUGGACUGUAACUGACGUUGAGGCUCGAAAGCGUGGGGAGCAAACAGGAUUAGAUACCCCGGUAA
rnacentral:rRNA from 1 species